rfam:Chryseobacterium sp. IHB B 10212 strain IHBB 10212, complete genome.
CUUUAGCCCCGAUUGGAACGACAUCCUUUUUUGUUGCGGCCGGAGCGAAGCGGAGGCCGUAACAAAAAAGAUAUAGUGGAAAGCGGGAAAUAGC